GAGUCCCAGUGGGUUUCAUCACGCACAUGGAUUGUUGAUGACUGAAGCAAACCAAGUGGAAUGCAAUACCUCAGGUUAUGCCUGUCCAUGCCUGCCCAGUUGGACGUACUGCCAAAUUCUCUAAAAUGAUGUUGGAGGCGGCUUAUGGUAUCGCCCAUCUUCCCCACUUAUCCUCUGGGUAUUUAACCUGUGUUUCCUGUCUGUCUGUUGCUAGUUCGUCUUGUUUGUUUUGCGUUUUGUGUCUCAGCGCCUGCUUUUUCCAGUUUCUCUUUUCUCGUCCUCCUGGUUUUUGACCCUUGCUUGUCCUGACCCUGUACCCGCCCGCCUGACCACUCUGCCUGAGCCUGCCUGCUGUCCUGUACCUUUGCUCCACCUCUGGAUUACUGACCUCUGCCUGACCUGACCCUGAGCCUGCCUGCCUGCCGUCCUGUACCUUGGCCUCUACUCUGCAUUAUCGACCCCGGCCUGCCUUGACCUGUCAUUUGCCUGCCCCUGUUGUUAGAAUAAACAUUGUUACUUCACACAGUCUGCACUUGGUUCUUACCUUGAUUCCUAAUAAUUUCCAUUACAAUGUCUUUAAUGAUAUCACAAAACAAUAAAUGAUCUGACAUGAUUUUUCUUUAAGUCCCUCACGACUAUUUUUAACAUUCUUUGUGUUAGAAAUAUUGUUUUAUUAUCCACUUUUGGAUGUUGGAGUUUUGGCGGAAGAAUAUCUUUGUAACAAAAGGGUUCUUUCCCCUCAAUACUGCAUGGCAAGGGAGAGAAAGUUCCUGCAAGAUAUUUACGACUGUCAUAAAAUUGGCCAACUCCCCCAGAAAAUGGUGGUCUUGAAACCUUUAAUUAGCCAGCACCUUUGAUCUCCAUCCAAGAGGGCAAGUCAUGACACUACCUAUUCAUGCAGGCCACCCUACCUAUUCAUGUAGGCCAACAUCUUUACAAGAGAAGGAGGUAACAGAAAACAUUGGCAGCUACAUAAAGUGCAGUGAUGCUUCAUACAAUUACUUAAACUCCCCCCUUCUUGUUUCCUGUAGCUGCUUGUAAUCAAAUCAAAAUCCAAUUUUAUUGGUUGCAUACCAAUAUUUAGCAGAUGUUAUUGCGGGUGUAGUGAAAUGCUUGUGUAAUACUAAGGUCCCCACACAAUACAAUGCACAAACCUGCCCUAGGCUAUUCCUUUACUUUCUUUGUAUGUUUCAUACAGACUUUGAGCUCCCGAGUGGCGCAGGGGUCUAAGGCACUGCAUCUCAGUGCAAGAGGCGUCACUAAAGUCCCUGGUUUGAUUCCAGGCUGUAUCAUAGGGCGGCACACAAUUGUUCCAGCAUCAUCCGGGGUAGGCCGUCAUUGUAAUUAAGAAUUUGUUCUUAACUGACUU